rnacentral:rRNA from 1 species
AGCAGCCGCGGUAAUUCCAGCUCCAAUAGCGUAUAUUAAAGUUGUUGCAGUUAAAAAGCUCGUAGUUGAAUUUCGGGGUUAGUAGGUUGGUCGUGCCUAUGGUAUGUACUGGCUUUACUGAUUCCUCCUUCUUGAAGAACUGUAAUGUCAUUAAUUUGGUGUUGCAGGGACACAGGACUGUUACUUUGAAAAAAUUAGAGUGUUUAAAGCAGGCUAACGCUUGAAUACAUUAGCAUGGAAUAAUGAAAUAGGACGUUUGAUCCUAUUUUGUUGGUUUCUAGGAUUGACGUAAUGAUUAAUAGGGAUAGUUGGGGGCAUUAGUAUUCAAUUGUCAGAGGUGAAAUUCUUGGAUUUAUUGAAGACUAACUACUGCGAAAGCAUUUGCCAAGGAUGUUUUCAUUAAUCAAGAACGAAAGUUAGGGGAUCGAAGACGAUCAGAUACCGUCGUAG